UACAGAGGUCCCAAGCGUUAAUCGGAAUUACUGGGCGUAAAGCGUGCGCAGGCGGUUCGUGAUGUCUGGUGUGAAAGCCCCGGGCUUAACCUGGGAAUUGCAUUGGAAACUAGCGGGCUGGAGUGUGGCAGAGGGGGGUGGAAUUCCACGUGUAGCAGUGAAAUGCGUAGAGAUGUGGAGGAACACCGAUGGCGAAGGCAGCCCCCUGGGCUAACACUGACGCUCAUGCACGAAAGCGUGGGGAGCAAACAGG
rnacentral:rRNA from 1 species